GCUGUAAGUACUGCGGAAGACAUUACAGUAGUCGCCCGGGUUGCCGCAAGGCCUCCCGGGUAACCUACCACCCUUUGUUUAUCACACUUUGUUGCUUUGGCAGGCCUGCCCUCGGGCUGCUGGCUCCGGCCGGCGAGCGCCUGCCAGAGGACCUAAACUCUGUUUGUCUAUACUGUCUGAGUACUAUAUAAUAGUUAAAACUUUCAACAACGGAUCUCUUGGUUCUGGCAUCGAUGAAGAACGCAGCGAAAUGCGAUAAGUAAUGUGAAUUGCAGAAUUCAGUGAAUCAUCGAAUCUUUGAACGCACAUUGCGCCCCCUGGUAUUCCGGGGGGCAUGCCUGUCCGAGCGUCAUUACAACCCUCAAGCUCAGCUUGGUGUUGGGCCCCGCCGCCCCGGCGGGCCCUAAAGUCAGUGGCGGUGCCGUCCGGCUCCGAGCGUAGUAAUUCUUCUCGCUCUGGAGGCCCGGUCGCGUGCCCGCCAGCAACCCCCAAUUUUUUUCAGGUUGACCUCGGAUCAGGUAGGGAUACCCGCUGAACUUAAGCAUAUCAUA
rnacentral:misc_RNA from 1 species